UUAAGCGACUAAGCGUACACGGUGGAUGCCCUGGCAGUCAGAGGCGAUGAAGGACGUGCUAAUCUGCGAUAAGCGUCGGUGAGGUGAUAUGAACCGUUAUAACCGGCGAUUUCCGAAUGGGGAAACCCAGUGUGUUUCGACACACUAUCAUUAACUGAAUCCAUAGGUUAAUGAGGCGAACCGGGGGAACUGAAACAUCUAAGUACCCCGAGGAAAAGAAAUCAACCGAGAUUCCCCCAGUAGCGGCGAGCGAACGGGGAGGAGCCCAGAGCCUGAAUCAGUGUGUGUGUUAGUGGAAGCGUCUGGAAAGGCGUGCGAUACAGGGUGACAGCCCCGUACACAAAAAUGCACAUAUUGUGAGCUCGAUGAGUAGGGCGGGACACGUGGUAUCCUGUCUGAAUAUGGGGGGACCAUCCUCCAAGGCUAAAUACUCCUGACUGACCGAUAGUGAACCAGUACCGUGAGGGAAAGGCGAAAAGAACCCCGGCGAGGGGAGUGAAAAAGAACCUGAAACCGUGUACGUACAAGCAGUGGGAGCCUCUUAAUGGGGUGACUGCGUACCUUUUGUAUAAUGGGUCAGCGACUUAUAUUCUGUAGCAAGGUUAACCGAAUAGGGGAGCCGAAGGGAAACCGAGUCUUAACUGGGCGUUAAGUUGCAGGGUAUAGACCCGAAACCCGGUGAUCUAGCCAUGGGCAGGUUGAAGGUUGGGUAACACUAACUGGAGGACCGAACCGACUAAUGUUGAAAAAUUAGCGGAUGACUUGUGGCUGGGGGUGAAAGGCCAAUCAAACCGGGAGAUAGCUGGUUCUCCCCGAAAGCUAUUUAGGUAGCGCCUCGUGAAUUCAUCUCCGGGGGUAGAGCACUGUUUCGGCAAGGGGGUCAUCCCGACUUACCAACCCGAUGCAAACUGCGAAUACCGGAGAAUGUUAUCACGGGAGACACACGGCGGGUGCUAACGUCCGUCGUGAAGAGGGAAACAACCCAGACCGCCAGCUAAGGUCCCAAAGUCAUGGUUAAGUGGGAAACGAUGUGGGAAGGCCCAGACAGCCAGGAUGUUGGCUUAGAAGCAGCCAUCAUUUAAAGAAAGCGUAAUAGCUCACUGGUCGAGUCGGCCUGCGCGGAAGAUGUAACGGGGCUAAACCAUGCACCGAAGCUGCGGCAGCGACACUAUGUGUUGUUGGGUAGGGGAGCGUUCUGUAAGCCUGUGAAGGUGGCCUGUGAGGGUUGCUGGAGGUAUCAGAAGUGCGAAUGCUGACAUAAGUAACGAUAAAGCGGGUGAAAAGCCCGCUCGCCGGAAGACCAAGGGUUCCUGUCCAACGUUAAUCGGGGCAGGGUGAGUCGACCCCUAAGGCGAGGCCGAAAGGCGUAGUCGAUGGGAAACAGGUUAAUAUUCCUGUACUUGGUGUUACUGCGAAGGGGGGACGGAGAAGGCUAUGUUGGCCGGGCGACGGUUGUCCCGGUUUAAGCGUGUAGGCUGGUUUUCCAGGCAAAUCCGGAAAACCAAGGCUGAGGCGUGAUGACGAGGCACUACGGUGCUGAAGUGACAAAUGCCCUGCUUCCAGGAAAAGCCUCUAAGCAUCAGGUAACAUCAAAUCGUACCCCAAACCGACACAGGUGGUCAGGUAGAGAAUACCAAGGCGCUUGAGAGAACUCGGGUGAAGGAACUAGGCAAAAUGGUGCCGUAACUUCGGGAGAAGGCACGCUGAUAUGUAGGUGAAGCGACUUGCUCGUGGAGCUGAAAUCAGUCGAAGAUACCAGCUGGCUGCAACUGUUUAUUAAAAACACAGCACUGUGCAAACACGAAAGUGGACGUAUACGGUGUGACGCCUGCCCGGUGCCGGAAGGUUAAUUGAUGGGGUUAGCGGUAACGCGAAGCUCUUGAUCGAAGCCCCGGUAAACGGCGGCCGUAACUAUAACGGUCCUAAGGUAGCGAAAUUCCUUGUCGGGUAAGUUCCGACCUGCACGAAUGGCGUAAUGAUGGCCAGGCUGUCUCCACCCGAGACUCAGUGAAAUUGAACUCGCUGUGAAGAUGCAGUGUACCCGCGGCAAGACGGAAAGACCCCGUGAACCUUUACUAUAGCUUGACACUGAACAUUGAGCCUUGAUGUGUAGGAUAGGUGGGAGGCUUUGAAGUGUGGACGCCAGUCUGCAUGGAGCCGACCUUGAAAUACCACCCUUUAAUGUUUGAUGUUCUAACGUUGGCCCGUAAUCCGGGUUGCGGACAGUGUCUGGUGGGUAGUUUGACUGGGGCGGUCUCCUCCUAAAGAGUAACGGAGGAGCACGAAGGUUGGCUAAUCCUGGUCGGACAUCAGGAGGUUAGUGCAAUGGCAUAAGCCAGCUUGACUGCGAGCGUGACGGCGCGAGCAGGUGCGAAAGCAGGUCAUAGUGAUCCGGUGGUUCUGAAUGGAAGGGCCAUCGCUCAACGGAUAAAAGGUACUCCGGGGAUAACAGGCUGAUACCGCCCAAGAGUUCAUAUCGACGGCGGUGUUUGGCACCUCGAUGUCGGCUCAUCACAUCCUGGGGCUGAAGUAGGUCCCAAGGGUAUGGCUGUUCGCCAUUUAAAGUGGUACGCGAGCUGGGUUUAGAACGUCGUGAGACAGUUCGGUCCCUAUCUGCCGUGGGCGCUGGAGAACUGAGGGGGGCUGCUCCUAGUACGAGAGGACCGGAGUGGACGCAUCACUGGUGUUCGGGUUGUCAUGCCAAUGGCACUGCCCGGUAGCUAAAUGCGGAAGAGAUAAGUGCUGAAAGCAUCUAAGCACGAAACUUGCCCCGAGAUGAGUUCUCCCUGACUCCUUGAGAGUCCUGAAGGAACGUUGAAGACGACGACGUUGAUAGGCCGGGUGUGUAAGCGCAGCGAUGCGUUGAGCUAACCGGUACUAAUGAACCGUGAGGCU
rnacentral:rRNA from 1 species